CCAAAGGCUCUUUUCAGAGCCACGCAUCCGUUCAAGACGAGGGCUG
rfam:Sarcophilus harrisii ctg7180002418729, whole genome shotgun sequence.